GUGAACGCUGGCGGUAGGCCUAACACAUGCAAGUCGAACGGCAGCACAGUAAGAGCUUGCUCUUACGGGUGGCGAGUGGCGGACGGGUGAGGAAUACAUCGGAAUCUACUUUUUCGUGGGGGAUAACGUAGGGAAACUUACGCUAAUACCGCAUACGACCUACGGGUGAAAGCAGGGGAUCUUCGGACCUUGCGCGAUUGAAUGAGCCGAUGUCGGAUUAGCUAGUUGGCGGGGUAAAGGCCCACCAAGGCGACGAGCCGUAGCUGGUCUGAGAGGAUGAUCAGCCACACUGGAACUGAGACACGGUCCAGACUCCUACGGGAGGCAGCAGUGGGGAAUAUUGGACAAUGGGCGCAAGCCUGAUCCAGCCAUACCGCGUGGGUGAAGAAGGCCUUCGGGUUGUAAAGCCCUUUUUUUGGGAAAGAAAAGCAGCAGGUUAAUACCCCGCUGUUCUGACGGUACCCAAAGAAUAAGCACCGGCUAACUUCGUG
rnacentral:rRNA from 1 species